ensembl:snoRNA
UUUCAUAAAAAAUUCUAUUGGUAGCUAAAAAACAAAACAAAACCAAGAAGAGUUCUUAUGUGCUAUACAGAUAGUUGAAGGUUAAUUAGCAGUAUAACUAUAAAUAGUAAUGCCGCCAGUCUCCUUCAGACAAGA